rnacentral:rRNA from 1 species
UACGAGGGGGGCAAGCGUUAUCCGGAAUUAUUGGGCGUAAAGCGUCCGUAGGUGGCUCUUCAAGUCUGCUGUCAAAGAGUGGGGCUUAACCCUGCAAAGGCAGUGGAAACUGAAAGGCUAGAGAGCCGUAGGGGUAGAGGGAAUUCCCGGUGUAGCGGUGAAGUGCGUAGAGAUCGGGAAGAACAUCGGUGGCGAAAGCGCUCUACUGGACGGUAUCUGACACUGAGGGACGAAAGCUAGGGGAGCGAAUGGG